UACGGGGGGGGCAAGCGUUGUUCGGAAUUACUGGGCGUAAAGGGCUCGUAGGUGGCCAACUAAGUCAGACGUGAAAUCCCUCGGCUUAACCGGGGAACUGCGUCUGAUACUGGAUGGCUUGAGUUUGGGAGAGGGACGCGGAAUUCCAGGUGUAGCGGUGAAAUGCGUAGAUAUCUGGAGGAACACCGGUGGCGAAGGCGGCGUCCUGGACCAACACUGACACUAAGGAGCGAAAGCCAGGGGAGCAAACGGG
rnacentral:rRNA from 1 species